UCAUCACCGUCAUUAUUCCUGAACAUUCUUUCGGGCAUAAUGCGGUGUUCGGAAGAAAACUUCCGAGCAAGCGUUAGUUCUAAAAUAUUCAAUCUCUCGGAAGUGAUUUUCUACUUUCGAGAGAUUUUUUUU
rfam:Actinobacillus succinogenes 130Z, complete genome.